GAUUCCUCUAGUAACGGCGAGCGAAGGAGGAAGAGCCCAGCACCGAAUCCUUCACCAUCUCGGUGACAGGAAAUGUGGUGUUUAGGCCGUACCUUGUCCCGACACGUCUCUCCUCAAGUCCACUUGAUUGUGGCCCCAGGCCCAGAGAGGGUGUAAGGCCCGUGGAGGCGAGACGUUCGGUACCUGGUGCGUCCUUAGAGUCGGGUUGUUUGGGAAUGCAGCCCUAAGCGGGUGGUAAACUCCAUCCAAGGCUAAAUACCAGCACGAGUCCGAUAGCGAAGAAGUACCGCGAGGGAAGGUUGAAAAGAACUUUGAAGAGAGAGUUCAAGAGUACGUGAAACCGCUGAGAGGCAAACUGGUGGAACUGAAAUGGUCCCGAGGAAUUCAGCCGUUGGUCGUUGCACAGUCUUUGGUGAUUGAUCUAACGACGGCGCCAUUGAAUGACGUUUCGAUCAUCGGUGCACUUUCCUCGCCUGGGCCCGACCACGACCGGUGAGCUGAUCUGUCUGUCGUGCUUGGAAGAUAGCGCCGUCUUCGGAAGGCGUGUUAUAGACAGGCAUACGGAGCAGUCGGCGCACUGGAUGAUAGUGCCUGCCCAUCUGGGCUCAUAUGGUGGUUGUUUUGUUGGCGAGUUCUGAUGUCACUACUUCGGUAGAGUCGUUAGACUCUGUUGGCAUUAUGGCUGUCCUCUAUGAUUGGCACUGUUAAGUCUGUGGUUGUGAAGUAGGUAGUCCACCUGACCCGUCUUGAAACACGGACCAAGGAGUCUAACAUGUGCGCGAGUCAUUGGGUUCACGAAACCUAAAGGCGCAGUGAAGGUAAAGAUCUGUUUUGGCAGAUUGAGGUGGGAUGCCGGGUUACGCGCCCGGCCGCACUACCGGCCCGUUCUAUAUGUCUUUCAUAGGAGCGGAGCAAGAGCGUACACGUUGGGACCCGAAAGAUGGUGAACUAUGCUUGCGCAGGU
rnacentral:rRNA from 1 species